rnacentral:tRNA from 1 species
GUCCCGGUAGCCAAACGGUAAGGCGACGCACUGCAAAUGCGUUAACAGUGAGUUCAAUUCUCAUCCGGGACU